rnacentral:rRNA from 1 species
GACGAACGCUGGCGGUGUGCUUAACACAUGCCAGUCGAACGGAAAGGCCCUGCUUUUGUGGGGUGCUCGAGUGGCGAACGGGUGAGUAACACGUGAGUAACCUGCCCUUGACUUUGGGAUAACUUCAGGAAACUGGGGCUAAUACCGGAUAGGAGCUCCUGCUGCAUGGUGGGGGUUGGAAAGUUUCGGCGGUUGGGGAUGGACUCGCGGCUUAUCAGCUUGUUGGUGGGGUAGUGGCUUACCAAGGCUUUGACGGGUAGCCGGCCUGAGAGGGUGACCGGCCACAUUGGGACUGAGAUACGGCCCAGACUCCUACGGGAGGCAGCAGUGGGGAAUAUUGCACAAUGGGCGGAAGCCUGAUGCAGCAACGCCGCGUGCGGGAUGACGGCCUUCGGGUUGUAAACCGCUUUCGCCUGUGACGAAGCGUGAGUGACGGUAAUGGGUAAAGAAGCACCGGCUAACUACGUG